rnacentral:lncRNA from 1 species
ACAAGUUCAAACUCUUUGAACUCUCUCUCUCACUUUCUCUACUACUUCUAUACUCUCUCACUGUCCUAUUUGACCAUUCAAUCGGUUGAAAGCCAAGAUUGAGUAAGCUUGGUUGUCUACUACACUACUGGGUUUAACUGCAUUAUUUACUUUGGUUUGCCUACUGCUUGCUUCUCUGGACUGUUGUCCUCACAUUACAGCUCUCAUUCUCUGCACACUUUUCUCUCUUCUUGUGCAUUAUUGCUCAUCGCUCUUGUGUUCUAUUCGCC